GAUGAACGCUGACAGAAUGCUUAACACAUGCAAGUCAACUUGAAUUUGGGUUUUUAACUUAGAUUUGGGUGGCGAACGGGUGAGUAACGCGUAAAGAACUUGCCUCACAGCUAGGGACAACAUUUAGAAAUGAAUGCUAAUACCUGAUAUUAUGAUUUUAAGGCAUCUUAGAAUUAUGAAAGCUAUAAGCACUGUGAGAGAGCUUUGCGUCCCAUUAGCUAGUUGGAGAGGUAACAGCUCACCAAGGCGAUGAUGGGUAGCCGGCCUGAGAGGGUGAACGGCCACAAGGGGACUGAGACACGGCCCUUACUCCUACGGGAGGCAGCAGUGGGGAAUAUUGGACAAUGGACCGAGAGUCUGAUCCAGCAAUUCUGUGUGCACGAUGAAGUUUUUCGGAAUGUAAAGUGCUUUCAGUUGGGAAGAAAAAAAUGACGGUACCAACAGAAGAAGUGACGGCUAAAUACGUGCCAGCAGCCGCGGUAAUACGUAUGUCACGAGCGUUAUCCGGAUUUAUUGGGCGUAAAGCGCGUCUAGGUGGUUAUGUAAGUCUGAUGUGAAAAUGCAGGGCUCAACUCUGUAUUGCGUUGGAAACUGUGUAACUAGAGUACUGGAGAGGUAAGCGGAACUACAAGUGUAGAGGUGAAAUUCGUAGAUAUUUGUAGGAAUGCCGAUGGGGAAGCCAGCUUACUGGACAGAUACUGACGCUAAAGCGCGAAAGCGUGGGUAGCAAACAGG
rnacentral:rRNA from 1 species